AAAUUUAAACUACAUUUAUAGGCAGUUGAAGCAUACCCGUCUUUUUUUUUGCAUUCAUCAAAUGGCACCAAUAUCCAACAGAAGCCAUUACAGCAUCAAUAGCAAUAGGAAACAUACCUAUUUCUGCUAAAACUGCUGUGUUUACUACAGCUGUAUUUACACCCAAAGAUAUUUAGCAAUUGUAUUUGAAAUUUUGAUGGUAUAAAAGACAAAUAUCUUCAUUCAAGACUUGAAUUAUCUUUAACUAACAUAUCAAGUGCCCAUAUUUCACUG
rnacentral:lncRNA from 1 species